rnacentral:rRNA from 1 species
GAUGAACGCUAGCGGCAGGCUUAAUACAUGCAAGUUGAGGGGCAGCAUGAUAUACGCGAGUAUAUUGAUGGCGACCGGCGGACGGGUGAGUAAUAGGUAGGAGACCUACCUCAUACAGGGGGAUAGCAUAGAGAAAUCUGUGGUAAUACCCCAUGAGGUUAUAUGAAUAGAGGCAUAUAAUCAAAGCAUAAGCGAUUAUGCGGUAUGAGAGGGGCCUACUGACCAUUAGCUAGUUGGUGAGGUAAGGGCUCACCAAGGCGAAGAUGGUUAGGGGUUUUGAGAGAGAGACCCCCCCACAUUGGAACUGAGAGACGGUCCAGACUCCUACGGGAGGCAGCAGUAGGGAAUAUUGGGCAAUGGGCGAAAGCCUGACCCAGCCAUGCCGCGUGAAGGAAGACGGCCUUAUGGGUUGUAAACUUCUUUACUACGCGAAUAGAGGUUAGUACGAGAUACUAAUAGGAAGUAGUGUAGUAAAAGCACCGGCUAACUCCGUG